UCAUAUUAUCGCCUGGUAUAUCUUUGGCUAGAAACAAGCCCACAAAUCCAGGUGAAGACCUGGCCACUGAAUCAUCAAUUGAAAGUAUUCGGGCAUGGGGUUUUCUACUCAAAACUAAGGCAGCAUGCAAGCCAUUUGGAGGCAUUGGUGUGUCGUCGGCAUAUAAUGCUUCUCCUGUAACCUGAAUUCUUGAAGAUUGAUGAACCUCGGGAAAACCGACAGAUGUCCCGUGCUUCAUGAUUUCAUAGUCCUGAGAUCCUGUAGCUGGUGGCCGGUGGACUGAGUGCACUGCAGAUAGAUGGGAUGUUGGUAUAGACUCUUUGAUGCCAUCCAUUUGAUGAGACACCCAUAGAAAAAAUUUAAAAAAGAAACUCAGAGUCAAAGAUUUCCGGAACUCUACCAUUCCACCAGGAGCAUCUUCCUUAAGUACUAUAUCCUUUUGCAGAAUUUUCAAUGCAUUUUGCAACAUGUCUUGGUCCCAAAUCUUUCCAAUGAGAAAUUCCUUAGUUUUUAUGGCAGAAAGUGAACAUGGUGCUACCCCACCAUAAACAAUUGAUGCAUCAGCAACAACCCAGUUUUCACUAUGUUCCUUAAGAUGAACACGAAUACCCGCAUUUACAAUUGCGAUAUCAUCAUCCCUUCUAUGGGACUGUUUAAAUUCUUUUACAAACUCAAAGGUCCUAUUCCAUGGCAAGAAUACUGACAGAAGAAUUUCAUCAGAUGCCAAAUCCACCUU
rnacentral:lncRNA from 1 species